rnacentral:rRNA from 1 species
GAUGAACGCUGGCGGCGUGCCUAAUACAUGCAAGUCGAGCGAACAGACGAGGAGCUUGCUCCUCUGACGUUAGCGGCGGACGGGUGAGUAACACGUGGAUAACCUACCUAUAAGACUGGGAUAACUUCGGGAAACCGGAGCUAAUACCGGAUAAUAUAUUGAACCGCAUGGUUCAAUAGUGAAAGACGGUUUUGCUGUCACUUAUAGAUGGAUCCGCGCCGCAUUAGCUAGUUGGUAAGGUAACGGCUUACCAAGGCGACGAUGCGUAGCCGACCUGAGAGGGUGAUCGGCCACACUGGAACUGAGACACGGUCCAGACUCCUACGGGAGGCAGCAGGAGGGAAGCGUCCGCAAUGGGCGAAAGCCUGACGGAGCAACGCCGCGUGAGUGAUGAAGGUCUUCGGAUCGUAAAACUCUGUUAUUAGGGAAGAACAAAUGUGUAAGUAACUAUGCACGUCUUGACGGUACCUAAUCAGAAAGCCACGGCUAACUACGU